CCUACGGGUGGCAGCAGUGAGGAAUAUUGGUCAAUGGUCGCGAGCCUGAACCAGCCAAGUAGCGUGAAGGAUGACUGCCCUAUGGGUUGUAAACUUCUUUUAUACAGGAAUAAAGUGAGUCACGUGUGACUUUUUGUAUGUACUUUAUGAAUAAGGAUCGGCUAACUCCGUGCCAGCAGCCGCGGUAAUACGGAAGGUCCGAGCGUUAUCCGGAUUUAUUGGGUUUAAAGGGAGCGUAGGUGGGAUGUUAAGUCUGUCGUGAAAUGUUGCGGCUCAACCGUAGCAUUGCAAUUGUUACUGGCAGUCUUGAGUACAGUUGAGGUAGGCGGAAUUCGUGGUGUAGCGGUGAAAUGCUUAGAUAUCACGAAGAACUCCGAUUGCGAAGGCAGCUUACGAAACUGCCACUGACAUUGAUGCUCGAAAGUGUGGGUAUCGAACAGGAUUAGAUACCCUGGUAGUC
rnacentral:rRNA from 1 species